rnacentral:lncRNA from 1 species
AACAUUAUCAUGCAAAAAUCACAUUCUUUAUGAGAAACACACCUCAUAAUAGAAACUCUGUAUCAUAAUAGAAAUUGUAGGUUUCCUUGAUGGGAAACAUACUAAUGGUCAGAUACGCAUCAUCAUCCCAGUUUAAGCCUCUACCGCUACCCAUCACUACUAUCUUGUGCAACCUCUCGUCUUUCUUAUUUCACUCGCUUUUCUGGAGUUUGUCUUCACCAGCGGUAGCAAUAAAAGCAAGUCCAGCUCAAUGCUGUCAGCAACCUAAAAAAAGUUUCAUCUCUGAUGGCAUUUCCAGAUGGCUUGGCAAGUUCUCAUGCGCUUUCUAAUCCUUGUAUAUAUAAAAGAACCAACUUUCUAAGACAAGAAUCAGGCUACUCAUGUAUGUACCUUUUAGUCUCUUCCUCAAAUUUUCUUCUAGAUGGUGCAAAUGGAGAUUCCAAAUAAGAAGGCAUGGUAGAACAUAGUUCCACAUUUAUUCGUGAAAAGAAACAUAAAUUUAGAACAAGUGGAGUACCUUUCGAUUCCUCGUGUACAUCAACGGAUGUCGUCUUUUUUACCGUUAAAUUACUCUUUUCCUUCUCUCCCUCCACCCAAUACCUUUGCCUCUCCGCCUCCCUAACGCAAGUUCACCACAUUUUUCAAUGGUGCUUCUUGCUCGCAAUCACACCUUCCAUCUCCAUCUAGACUUUAACCAUGCAUUGAUUUACAUCUCACACAGUUUAACUU